rnacentral:rRNA from 1 species
GACGAACGCUGGCGGCGUGCUUAACACAUGCAAGUCGAACGGAGUGGCGAACGGGUGAGUAUUACGUGAGUAACCUGCCCUCAACGGUGGGAUAAGCCUGGGAAACUGGGUCUAAUACUGCAUAGUUGGGGAUGGGCUCGCGGCCUAUAGGCUUGUUGGUGGGGUGAUGGCCUACCAAGGCGGUGACGGGUAGCCGGCCUGAGAGGGUGGUCGGCAACAUGUGGACUGAGAUACGGCCAAGACUCCUGCGUGAGGCAGCAGUGGGGAAUAGUGCACAAUGGGCGCAAGCCUGAUGCAGCCAUGCCGCGUGUAUGAAGACGGCCUUCGGGUUGUAAAGUACUUUCAGCGAGGAGGCGUUACUCGCAGAAGAAGCACCGGCUAACUCCGUGCCAGCAGCCGCGGUAAUAC